AUUGAACGCUGGCGGCAUGCUUUACACAUGCAAGUCGAACGGUAACAGGGAGCUUGCUCCGCUGACGAGUGGCGAACGGGUGAGUAAUGCGUCGGAACGUGCCGAGUAGUGGGGGAUAACGCAGCGAAAGUUGUGCUAAUACCGCAUACGUACUGAGGUAGAAAGUGGGGGACCUUCGGGCCUUACGCUAUUCGAGCGGCCGACGUCUGAUUAGCUAGUAGGUGAGGUAAAGGCUCACCUAGGCGACGAUCAGUAGCGGGUCUGAGAGGAUGAUCCGCCACACUGGGACUGAGACACGGCCCAGACUCCUACGGGAGGCAGCAGUGGGGAAUUUUGGACAAUGGGCGAAAGCCUGAUCCAGCCAUGCCGCGUGUCUGAAGAAGGCCUUCGGGUUGUAAAGGACUUUUGUCGGGGAGGAAAUCCCCAGCGCUAAUACCGCUGGGGGAUGACAGUACCUGAAGAAUAAGCACCGGCUAACUCUGUGCCAGCCGCCGCGGUAAAAC
rnacentral:rRNA from 1 species